CGCUAGAGCUNANCAUGCAAGUCGAGCGAAGCUNUCCUCUUCGGAGGANNAGACUUAGCGGCGAACGGGUGAGUAACACGUGGGCAACCUGCCCUUAGCUCUGGGAUAAGCGAUGGANACGUCUUCUANUUAUGGAUACNACACGGAAGGGNNUCAUUACCGUGUGNAAAGAAUUUCGGCUGGGAUGGGCCCGCGGCCUAUCAGCUUGUUGGUGGGGUAACGGCCUACCAAGGCUUCNACGGGUAACCGGCCUGAGAGGGCGACCGGUCACNCUGGGACUGAGACACGGCCCAGACUCCUACGGGAGGCAGGGAGGGGAAUAUUGCACAAUGGGCGAAAGCCUGAUGCAGCGACGCCGCNNGAGGGAUGACGGCCUUCNGGUUGUAAACCUCUUUCAGCAAGGACNAAGNGAAAGUGACUGUACCUGAAGAACAAGCGCCNGCCAACUACGUGCCNGCAGCCGCGGUAAUACGUANGGCGCAAGCGUUGUCCGGAAUUAUUGGGCGUAAAGAGCUCGUAGGCNGUUUAUCACGUCGGCUGUGAAAACCUNANGCUUAACCUCGGGCCUGCUNUCGAUACGNNUUGACUANAGUGAAGCAGACUGAGACUGGAAUUCCUGGUGUAGCGUNGAAAUGCGNAGAUAUCAACANGAACACCGGUGGCGAAUGCNNGUCUCUGGNCUNNNACUGACGCUGAGGAGCGAAAGCGUGGGUAGCGAACAGGAUUAGAUACCCUGNUAGNCCACNCCGUAGCGGUGNGCGCUNGGUGUGGGGACCAUUCCACGGUUUCCGUGCCGCAGCUAACGCAUUACGCGCCCCGCCUGGGGAGUACGGCCGCAAGGNUAAAACUCAAAGGAGUGGAC
rnacentral:rRNA from 1 species